CAGAUGGGAGAAAGGAGAGGAACCCCAGGGUUGAGGCAUGAAAGACCCGGAGAAGUUAACUGUGAUGUUGUCGUUCUUCCACUAUGGCAUUGUCCUGGUGUACAGCCUCAGAAGCUGUCAUUGUCUAUCAGUGACUACACGCCAGGUUUCUUGAGCUGCCAUUAAUGAGAUAAAAUUAUUCUUUGAUGGCAGUGGCCAUAUGACAAGGAUUGAGAAGACAAGGAUCCCUGGAUUCCAGAGGAUUGUCACUUAGUUAUUUCAACAAAUAGCGUGUUUCAAUAAAUUUUCCAC
rnacentral:lncRNA from 1 species